rnacentral:rRNA from 1 species
GCAUUAAAGCUAGCCUAACUAUGUAUAACCGUAUAAAAAUAUUAAAAUAAAUACUCAUAAAACUAAAACAAAACAUUUGUUAACUCAAGUAUAGGAGAUAGAAAAAGACUAAUAGAGCAAUAGUUAUAGUACCGCAAGGGAAUGCUGAAAGAGAAAUGAAAUAAAUAGUUAAAGCGCUACACAGCAGAGAUCAAAUCUCGUACCUUUUGCAUCAUGAUCUAGUAAGUUAUACCAAGCAAAAUGAAUUGUAGUUUGAUACCCCGAAACUAGACGAGCUACUUCGAAGCAGUUGUAAGGACUAACCCGUCUCUGUGGCAAAAGGGUGGGAAGACUUCCAAGUAGAGGUGAUAAGCCUAACGAGCCUAGUAAUAGCUGGUUACUCAAGAAAUGAAUAAAAGUUCAGCCUCAAAUAUUCUAAGUAUACUAAAGUACCACCUAAAAAAAUUUUAAGAACAUUUGAGAGUUAUUCAUAAGAGGUACAGCUCUUAUGAAUAGGGAAACAACCCCCCAAAGGAGGAAAAAGAUCAUAAUAUAUAAGGACAAUAUUUAAGUGGGCCUGAAAGCAGCCACCUUUUAGAUAGCGUUAUAGCUCAAAUAAUACUCCACCCAAAUAUCCGGAUAAAACCUCUAAAUCCCCUAUACAUAUUGAGUUACUCUAUUAUAUUAGAAGAAAUUAUGCUAGAACUAGUAAUAAGAAAAAGAUUUUCUCCCAGCACAAGUGUAAGUUAGACAGGACAAACCACUAACAAUUAAACGAACCCCAUAAGAGGGAAGAAUAAUGGACAUAUAUAAAUCAAGGAAAGCCUAUUAUAUUAACUCGUUAACCUUACACAAGAGUGCACAAAGGAAAGACUAAAAGAGAAAAAAGGAACUCGGCAAACCUGAGCCCCGCCUGUUUACCAAAAACAUCGCCUUCAGCUAACCACAUAUUGAAGGUCCUGCCUGCCCAGUGACUAAAGUUUAACGGCCGCGGUAUCUUGACCGUGCAAAGGUAGCGUAAUCACUUGUCCUUUAAAUAGGGACUGGUAUGAAUGGCCAAACGAGGGCUCGACUGUCUCUUUUCUCCUGUCAAUUAAACUGAUCUACCCGUGCAGAAGCGGGUAUAAAAACAUAAGACGAGAAGACCCUGUGGAGCUUUAGACCUAAUCCAAACACUACAAACCCUAUAAAAAAUAUAGGUAAACCCUAUGUUAUGGCUAAAUGUCUUAGGUUGGGGCGACCACUGAGAACAAAUAAACCUCAGAGAUGAUUGAAGCACAGCUUUAUUAACUAAGAAUGACAAUUCUAAGUAUCAGGAUACCUGUCAUUAAGAUCCAGACUAACCUGAUCAACGAACCAAGUUACCCCAGGGAUAACAGCGCAAUCUUUUCCAAGAGCCCAAAUCGACGAAAAGGUUUACGACCUCGAUGUUGGAUCAGGACAUCCUAAUGGUGCAGCCGCUAUUAAGGGUUCGUUUGUUCAACGAUUAAAGUCCUACGUGAUCUGAGUUCAGACCGGAGUAAUCCAGGUCAGUUUCUAUCUAUGAAGUUAUUUAUCCUAGUACGAAAGGAUUGGAUAAAUAGGGCCUAUAUUAAAAACACGCCCUACUUUAACCUGUUGAAACCAAAUCAAACAGAUAAUAAAGAACAUAUUUUAAUCCAAGAAAAGGACUA